GUUUUGUCAAAUUCUUGAUCAUGCUGGCGAAGAAUCGCUUCGUGUUCAUGGUUUUCGCAUUGAGUUGCUUCAGGUUGCUGAGAUUCGCAAAGGCAGUGGUACCCCAAGGAGAAGAGUGCUCAAGUUUUAUAGUCUUCCUGGCAUGCUUCCACCUCAACUGGUGAAGCUUCCUCACCUUCGAGAAAUUGAUUUUGCUUACAACUAUCUCAAUGGGACAACACCACUGGAAUGGGCUUCAAUGCGAUUAACUUCU